AUACUACUGAGGACGGGGUCAAAGGUUGAUCAAGAAGGCCAUGGCCGAGGUUGGUGACUUCCAUUGCACUUUGGAGGGCCGCCCCUUAAGGUCAACCCAAGUGGUUGAGCCUGCGUUCUAAUUUUUGGCUGUGGGGGCUUGCAUUCGUGCAGCCCCUAU
rnacentral:snRNA from 1 species